AUGGAUUUUACACGAUUUGGGAUGGGUAGAGGGUGUUUGCAACCAGGGAAUGCAGAGCAAACUAGGACGCCAGGCAUUAGCAGCCCUCAGAGUAUAGAUAAUGGUACGCCUGUAGCAAGGCAGAUGUUUUCCACUCCCGCCACUGCUGAUAAUGACACUCUGGCACAACUGCGUGACCUCUUAGGGGAGCUGGGAACCCACAUUGGUAACACUGUUGUGAGUCGCAUAUUAGCCAACCAAACAAGUACCCCCAAACUCAAUUGCCCACCCCCCAUGACUCCCCACUCCACCAUUCCAUUCGCUUUGCCACUGGGGCUCCAUUCACCACCUCCCAUGACUUCCCCUCCACUCGAGCCCAUGCCUUCCCCAGUUGAUAUGUCUCGACUAAACAUCAUGGUAAAAGCAGCUGGCAAGGAACCAGUGAUGUUUAGAGGAGAUGGCUCUGACAAAUACACAGUACAAGAGUGGAUAGAGGUGAUGGAUACUUACCUGCAUAAAAAUAACUGUCCAACCUCAGAGCAGGCCGAUGAAGUCCUCAGUCACCUUUUGGGACGAGCUAAGAGUAUCGUUAAAGUGGGGCUGAAGAGUAGUGCCGAUGUCAACACACACCCUGAAGUGGUAUACGACAUACUCAGAAGAUACUUCAGUGAUUCUCCCAUGUCCAGCUUACCGAUGGCUGAUUUCUAUUCUACACAUCCCGAUGCAAAUGAGAACCCAGUAGAUUACUGGGUCCGGCUCAAUGCAGCAGCUGAGCAUGCUGACCGGUAUCUGGGGAAAAGUGGAGAAAAGAGGGAGACCAUGUCAGCGCAAAUUGCUAUGAUGUUCAUCAGGAACUGCCCCAACCCAGAACUCUCCAGUGUGUUCCGGUGUAAGCCUAUCAGCAAAUGGUCAGCCGUGGAAGUGCAAGAGGCUAUCGAUGAACACCAGAGGGAGCACCAGGCAAGGAGGAGGCCCAUUAAAGCAGAGAAGUUCAAAAUGGUGACAGCAGCUGCCACUACCUGUUUACCUGUAGUUGAAGAGCUGACUGCAAUGAGGGCUGGAGUUCAAGAACCUCCUACACAGCCAAAGGUGAGUGCAGUCACCUCUUCAGAAGCAGGGGCCUUAGAACGAGUACUGAGCAUGCUGGAAGGCAUCAUGGCCAGAGCAGCUUCACCUGUCCAACGGCCGACCCCGUGGACACGCCCCACUUCUUGCCGUGUAUGUGGUGACAAGACUCACAUCACACGUGAACACUGCAUGAAAGAGAACAGGUGCUUCGGGUGCCUGGAACCUGGCCACGCAAGGAGAGAUUGCACACGAGCUGUACCACGGCAAACCCAAGCAGAGAACCACACACCUAACCAGGGAAACUAA
ensembl:lncRNA